rnacentral:lncRNA from 15 species
GCAUUUACGUACCAAAGUAUUCCGUUCGCGCGUGCGUCAGCGCGUGCGUGCACGUGCAUGUGUGUGUGCAUACGUGUAUAGAACAUAGAACGUUCUGGAGUUCCGUGCCUUUGAUCGUGACAUUCUAUAUCACUUUGAGGAGGAACACUGCUCUACAGGCACUUCAUCAACUCAGUGAACAGAACUGAGAGUUAGAUCCACAGAGAAAGUACCAGAUUGUUCUCAGAUCAUUAAAUUACAGACCAACAUGGACAACAAGAUUUCAUCAUGUGAGGCAGUGAACGUGAGCUACAGCGAUUUGGAUGUGCCACUGUUUACAUCCGAGAACUUUGCACCAGUGUUCACCUCAUUCAUACUUCAAAUCACAAAAGACCAGUGGAUGUUGGUGGGAGCUGGCAAAAUGGAUGUAGACAUGAUAGUUCUACUAUCUGACAUGUGCCGUGAGAUCGUAGAGUCGCUCAGCUUCUUGGUCUUGCAAUCUGUGGCACCUCAGAUUGAAAGCGGGAUGUGUGACCAGACUGCCCAGGACGAUGACACUUCCAUCACAAGGUAAGUCCAAAGCUUCCAGCCUACACUUGUAUGUAGUAUUUAGUAACCUUGGGAUUAUUAGAGUCCAGAAUAAAGUAAAUGAUGAAUGCUGUUUCUUUAUGCUAGAGGGCGCAUUAUGUACGUGAUAUGUAGUAAACCAAGCAGACGUGAGCAUCGUAUGCUGGGAUCAAAAAAUACCUCAGCUAAAACCUGAUGCCAACAACUCACGAUACAGCCACGAGUGAAGUUGAUGGCAUUUUAUGGAAGAAAUACUGUUUGUCCUCAUGUUUAUGAAUCUGUAUUUGACCGAAGUUGUUGCCAGAGGGUUCCAGAUCGCUGCGACUGGAGAAUUUGCUUUCUUUUGUUUUAUAUGAUUGAGGACUCCGAUUAUUUUUUUUUUUAGUUGCUGGAUCUGCAUUCUGGGACAGCGUCGAUUCCAACCAGGUUUCCUGUCUGACGCGAAGCAGGGUUAGAGAAUAUCUGGAAUUCUCCAUCUUCAUCAUCUUCCUGAAGAUUCAUGCCUGGAGCAGAUAAGAUCUAAGCUGCGCGCAGAAAACAUACAAACAAUCAUACACACAUUCUACCCGGGUAGCACAU